UCCAUGAUCAAACUCUACGGUUAUCUUGUUACGACUUUCCUGAGCCAGGAUAAAACUCUA
rnacentral:rRNA from 1 species